rfam:Puccinia sorghi strain RO10H11247 Scaffold_344, whole genome shotgun sequence.
GAAUUGGUAGCCUGGUUGGUAAAGGCAGCACUUCUAGUGAUUCUGCUAAGGUCGCUGGUUCAAAUCCUGCCCAAGUUG